rnacentral:rRNA from 1 species
GUGUCAGCCGCCGCGGUAAUACAGAGGGUGCAAGCGUUAAUCGGAUUUACUGGGCGUAAAGCGUGUGUAGGUGGCUCGCUAAGUCGGUUGUGAAAUCCCUGGGCUCAACCUGGGAAUUGCAGUCGAUACUGAUGAGCUCGAGUUCGGUAGAGGGUGACGGAAUUCCCGGUGUAGCGGUGAAAUGCGUAGAUAUCGGGAGGAACAUCGAUGGCGAAGGCAAUCACCUGGGCCUGAACUGACACUGUGACACGAAAGCGUGGGUAGCAAACAGGAUUAGAUACCCUGGUAGUCC